rnacentral:rRNA from 1 species
UACGAAGGGGGCUAGCGUUGCUCGGAAUUACUGGGCGUAAAGCGCACGUAGGCGGCUUUCUAAGUCGGGGGUGAAAUCCUGGAGCUUAACUCCAGAACUGCCUUCGAUACUGGAGAGCUCGAGUCCGGGAGAGGUGAGUGGAACUGCGAGUGUAGAGGUGAAAUUCGUAGAUAUUCGCAAGAACACCAGUGGCGAAGGCGGCUCACUGGCCCGGUACUGACGCUGAGGUGCGAAAGCGUGGGGAGCAAACAGGG